ACUAGCCUUCUUAAAAAGACCAG
rnacentral:siRNA from 1 species